rnacentral:lncRNA from 1 species
UUAAAAAAAAGGGAAAAAAGGAAUUUUAGAACUUAAAUUUUUACACAGUAAUCGAGACAGAGUGAGUAAAACUUUUGUAAAAAAGAAGAUUCGAAACAAUUCAAACGAGUUGUUCUUAUUUUGAAAAAUGAAAGACGAGAGGAUACUCGGAGCGUCGCAUUUUGAAAUACGUGUUCUCAGAGUUCAGCCAUCGAUAUCCAAUUACACUUCAGGGGACGUAAUAAGCUGCGUUUGAUAGUGAACAUAAAAUCGGCAAUAAAUAACGUGCACGCACGGAAUGAAUAAAAAAUGCUGAUGCCGGCUUGAAUCAAUACCAAAUAGACCUCCAUCAUCGGAUAGAGCCACUGGUCGCACGCAAUCUGCGGGAAAGAAUCCAGCCUCUGACCAAAGUUUUUUGGUUGUAAAAACUCAAUCAAUUGCUUAGUGCGCAUACGGACAAUCUGAACCGAGUUGAAUAGAUAAAAGUGUUUUGGGAAACAGGGGGUCAACUUGUUGUAGAGUUUUUUUACAUUUCUCAUUAAGGAAAUUUCUCAUCAUGUAGAGCAAUGUCAAGGUGCGAAUUAAAACAUUUGGAUAUCACUAGUAUUAAUUAAUAUUUCCCUACCUCUGUCCGUCUGCAGGUUGAUUUGUCUGAAAAACCAACGUUUUGGAAGGCCUUGAAACCGCCGGCAAAAGACAAAUGUGGAGAGCUGUUGACUUCAUUAUGUACCACCCUAGUAAUAGUAUUCUGACACUUACCUUACUCAAAGCUAGAAACCUUAAGGCUAAAGACAUCAACGGAAAAAUCAGAUCCAUAUGUGAAAGUCUGGCUCCAGUUUGGAGACAAAAAGGAUCGAGAAGCGGAAAACGCCCGUAUACAAAUGUACAUUAAAUCCGGUUUUUAAUGAAACUUUAGCUACAAUGUACCCUGGGAGAAAAUCCGAGAAUGCUCCCUAGACGUAAUGGUAAUGGACUUCGACAACAUAGGUAGGAACGAGCUCAUCGGCCGCAUACUCUAGCAGGUACAGAUUAUUCACUUCUUUCACUAUUAUAUUAUGCAUUUUCAGCCGUGUUCUGCCUUCCCCCUAAAAUUUUAGGAGCCAUCUUGGCCAGAAAGCCCAAUUUCUAGGAGCCUCUCUACUAUUUUUAGGGGCCAAAUUAAAUUUUUGCAUAUGGGCCAUGGCUAUGCUGAGAACGGUGCGUAUAGAGAGCGCUUCGUCACUACCGCUGCUUCCCGAUUGCGAGUUCAAUCUGUCAAAUUUUAGGCGCCACGUUGGCCCACCCCCCCCCCAUUUUUAGGCGCCAAGGCCCGAUUUUUAGGCGCAUUUGACACGUGGCGCCCCGGGGAAGGCAGAACACUGAUUUUUCAGCCGCGAAUAUUAAGAGAUAAUAUUAUAGAGUUAUUAAGAGAGAACAUAUUAUUAUUAUUUAGGAGAAUAAAAGGAAAACUUUCAACGCUAAAUUGAAACGCAUUUUAACUAUAGUGCCUAUACAGGGACAGGGCCGGAUUUACCUACUUGCCGCCCAUGGGCCGCUAGUAUUUUGCCGCCCCCUUCUCAUUCUUUCUGAAACAUCAAUGAAAACCAUCAAAUGAACGUGCCAGCGGGGAGGGGUGCAUAAGACGCGUUUACUGGUGUUGAACACAUUUUUUGGGAAAGCCCUGUCAACACUACUGGCAAAAGUUCACGGAACUUCGCGCGAAAGUUAAGUUUUGUAAACCUAUCUCGUGUGGACAAGGCCUUCGAUUCAUAAGAAAUGACGAAAAAAUUAAAAAUGAAAGAACAAACAUAAAUGUGGAUUAAUGAUUUUUAACUUCCGCCGCCGCGCCUCGCAGACCGCACUGUGUUGACGCAAUGCGUGAAGUAUUCACGCAGUCUUGUAGGCGCUAUGCGUCUCAGGCUGAUCGCAAUGUGUUUGCCGCAAUGCGUGAGGGUAUUCAUGCAUUCUUGUAGGCGCUAUCCGUUUCACGCUGUCCGCAAUGACCGCACACCGCACUGUUUUAAUGCAAUGCGUGAAGUAUUCGUGCAGUCUUGUAGGCGCUAAUAUGCGU